rnacentral:rRNA from 1 species
GACGAACGCUGGCGGCGUGCCUAAUACAUGCAAGUCGAGCGGACUUGCAGGAGUACUUGCACUCCUGAGAGUUAGCGGCGGACGUGUGAGUAACACGGAGGCAACCUGCCCUCAAGACUGGGAUAACUACCGGAAACGGUACCUAAUACCGGAUAAUUUAUUACAUAGCAUUAUGUGAUAAUGAAAGACGAAGCACUCUGUCACUUGGGGAUGGGCCUGCGGCGCAUUAGCUAGGUGGUGGGGUAACGGCCCACCAAGGCGACGAUGCGUAGCCGACCUGAGAGGGUGAACGGCCACACUGGGACUGAGACACGGCCCAGACUCCUACGGGAGGCAGCAGUAGGGAAUCUUACGCGAUGGGCGAAAGCCUGACGGAGCAACGCCGAGUGAGUGAUGAAGGUGUUAGGAUCGUAAAGCUAUGUUGCCAAGGAAGAACGUCUCAUAGAGUAACUGCUAUGAGAGUGACGGUACUUGAGAAGAAAGCCCCGGCUAACUACGUG